CACCGCCCGUCACACCAUGAAAGUCAGUUGUACCAGAAGUCGCUGCGCUAACCGUAAGGGGGCAGGCGCCCAAGGUAUGGCUGAUGAUUGGGGUG
rnacentral:rRNA from 1 species